rnacentral:rRNA from 1 species
AAUGGGCGCAAGCCUGAUCUAGCCGUGCCGCGUGAGUGAUGAAGGCCUUAGGGUCGUAAAGCUCUUUCGCCUGUGAAGAUAAUGACUGUAGCAGGUAAAGAAACCCCGGCUAACUCCGUGCCAGCAGCCGCGGUAAUACGGAGGGGGUUAGCGUUGUUCGGAAUUACUGGGCGUAAAGCGCGCGUAGGCGGACAUUUAAGUCAGAGGUGAAAUCCCAGGGCUCAACCCUGGAACUGCCUUUGAUACUGGGUGUCUUGAGUUCGAGAGAGGUGAGUGGAAUUCCGAGUGUAGAGGUGAAAUUCGUAGAUAUUCGGAGGAACACCAGUGGCGAAGGCGGCUCACUGGCUCGAUACUGACGCUGAGGUGCGAAAGUGUGGGGAGCAAACAGGAUU